GGGAAGGUGGCUCAGUGGUAGAGUACUUGCCUUGCAUUCAUGAGGCUUGGGUUCGAUUCCUCAGCCCCA
rnacentral:tRNA from 1 species